rnacentral:misc_RNA from 1 species
UCCGGCUUUCACCGGCUGUCUCUUUAGAGUGCCCAACUUAAUGCUGGCAACUAAGGAUAAGGGUUGCGCUCGUUGCGGGACUGAACCCAACAUCUCACGACACGAGCUGACGACAACCAUGCACCACCUGUCUCCUGUGUCCCGAAGGAAAAGUAUAUCUCUAUACCGGUCACAGGGAUGUCAAGCCCUGGUAAGGUUCUUCGCGUUGCUUCGAAUUAAACCACAUGCUCCACCGCUUGUGCGGGCCCCCGUCAAUUCCUUUGAGUUUCAGCCUUGCGGCCGUACUCCCCAGGCGGAGUGCUUAUUGGGUUUCCUUCGGCACUGAGGGUUUAAACCCCCAACACCUAGCACUCAUCGUUUACAGCGUGGACUAC